CCCAGACUUUAUGGACCGACCACCCAGCUACAGAGACCUGAAGUCAUAAAAGUGGAUCAAGGGAGCCAGACACACAGGGAUGGGCUUGUUUAUCAUCCUGGAGACUACAGAGAAACUUAGAAGCACAAAGAGUCACUUUAGCAGGGGCCGUCAAGAGCCACCUCCAGCUAAUGUUCCAGUCCAGCACAAAGUCAGCCUUCCUUGCAGAUGGUCCUUCUGGAAGGGGUCAGAAAAAGUGAGGAAGAGGAGGAAAGAGAGGGGAAAGAGAUGGG
rnacentral:lncRNA from 1 species